GACGAACGCUGGCGGCGUGCUUAACACAUGCAAGUCGAGCGGUAAGGCCCUUUCGGGGGUACGACGAGCGGCGGAACGGGUGGAGUAACACGUGGGUGACCUCGCCCUCCAGCUCUGGGAGUAAGACCUGGGAAACCGGGUACUAAUACCGGAUAUGACUCCAUGACGCAUGUUGGUGGGGUGGAAAGCCUUGUGCGGCUGAGGAGUGGGCCCGGCGGCCUAUCAGCUUGUUGGGUGGGGGUGA
rnacentral:rRNA from 1 species